rnacentral:rRNA from 1 species
GACGAACGCUGGCGGCGUGCUUAACACAUGCAAGUCGAACGAAGUGGCGAACGGGUGAGUAACGCAUAAUCAACCUGCCCUUCAGAGGGGGACAGCAGUUGGCAACGACUGCUAAUACCGCAUACUGCAGGAGGGGAGUGCGUGGGAUUCGCUAGUUGGGGGGGGAACGUCCCACCAAGGAGAUGAUCAGUAGCCGGGCCGAGAGGGAUAACGGGCAAAUUGGGACUGGGAAAAGGCCCAGAAUCCUACGGGAGGCAGCAGUGGGGGAUCUUUCGCAAAGGGGGAAAGUCUGACGGAGCAACGCCGCGUGAGGGAUGAAGGCUUUCGGGUUGUAAAGCUCUGUUAAUCGGGACGCGGUACCGGAAUAGAAAGCCACGGCUAACUACGUGCCAGCAGCCGCGGUAAUUC